UUGUUCGCAAUGGGCGCAAGCCUGACGACGCAACGCCGCGUGGAGGAUGAAGAUCUUCGGGUCGUAAACUCCUUUCGAUCGAGACGAACGGCUUCCGGGCUAAUCACCGGGAGAGUGACGGUACCGAGAGAAGAAGCCCCGGCUAACUCCGUGCCAGCAGCCGCGGUAAUACGGGGGGGGCAAGCGUUGUUCGGAAUUACUGGGCGUAAAGGGCUCGUAGGCGGCAAACUAAGUCAGACGUGAAAUCCCUCGGCUUAACCGGGGAACUGCGUCUGAUACUGGAUGGCUGGAGUUUGGGAGAGGGAUGCGGAAUUCCAGGUGUAGCGGUGAAAUGCGUAGAUAUCUGGAGGAACACCGGUGGCGAAGGCGGCAUCCUGGAACAAUACUGACGCUGAGGAGCGAAAGCCAGGGGAGCAAACG
rnacentral:rRNA from 1 species